CCCGCUUCAGCCUCCCAAAGUGCUAGGAUUACAGGCGUGAGCCACCGCGCCCGGCCGAGGUUAAUUUAUUAUUGAAGAAAGAAAAAUGUUUCUAAAAACAGAUUUAGUGUAGCCUAAGUGUACAGUGCUUAUAAAGUCUUCAGGAGUCAUGUCUUAGGCCUUCGCAUUCACCCACCACUCACUCACAGACUCACCCAGAGCAAUUUCCAGGCCCGCAAGCUCCCUUUGAGAGGUGACAACGGUACUAGCAGCCCUCACUCGCUCUCGGUGCCUCCUCAGCCUCGGGGCGCUUGAGGAGCCCGUCAGCUCACCGUUGCACUGUGAGAGCCCCUCUUUGGGCUUGGCUGAGGCCGGAGCCGGCACCCUUUGCUUGCCCGGAGGUGUGGAGGGAGAGGCGCCGUUGGGGGGGGGGGAACCAGGGCUGCAUGCGGCGCUGGCGGGCCAGCGCGAGUUCCAGGUAGGCGUGGGUUUGGCGGGCCCUGCACUCGGAGCGGCCAGCUGGUGCCGCCAGCCCGGGGCAGUGAGGGGCUUAGCACCCGGGCUAGCAGCUGCGGAGGGUGCGCUGGGUUCCCCAGCAGUGCCGGCCUGCCGGCACUGCGCUCAAAUUCUCACUAGGCCUCAGCUGAUUGACUAGGUGAAACCAGCUGGGCUCCUGAGUCUAGUGGGGACUUGAAGAAUCUUUAUGUCUAGCUAAGGGAUUGUAAAUACACAAAUUAGCACUCUGUAUCUAGCUCAAGGUUUGUAAACACACCAAUCAGCACCUUGUGUCUAGCUCAGGGUUUUUGAAUGCACCAAUCAGCGCUCUGUGUCUAGCUAAUCUUGUGGGGACUUGGAGAAUCUUUAUGUCUAGCUAAGGGAUUGUGAAUGCACCAAUCAGCACUCUGUAUCUAGCUCAGGGUUUGUAAAUACACCAAUGGACACUCUGUAUCUAGCUAAUCUGUUGGAGACGUGCAGAACUUUUCUGUCUAGCUCAGGAACUGUAAACGCACCAAUCAGCACCCUGUCAAAAUGGACCAAUCAGCUCUCUGUAAAAUGGACCAAUCAGCAGGAUGCGGGUGGGCCAGAUAAGAGAAUAAAAGCAGGCUGCCUGAGACAGCAGCAGCAGCAGGCUCUGCUCGCUUUUCGUUCUGUGGGCGCUUUGUUGUUUUGCUUUUCGCAUAUAAAUCUUGCUACUGUUCACUCUUUGGGUUCACACUGCAUUUAUGAGUUAUAACACUCACCGUAAAGGUCUGCAGCUUCACUCCUGAAGCCAGGGAGACCACUAACCCACUGGGAGAAAAGAACAACUCCGGACCCGCCGCCUUAAGAGCUGUAACACUCACCGCGAAGGUCUGCAGCUUCACUCCUGAGCCAGCGAGACCCUGAACCCACCAGAAGAAAGAAACUCUGAACACAUCUGAACAUCAGAAGGAACAAACUCUGGAAGAACUGUAACACUCACCGCGAGGGUCCGCGGCUUCAUUCUUGAAGUCAGUGAGACCAAGAACCCACCAAUUCCAGACACACCUUCAUAAGAGAGUCUCACUCUGUCGCCCAGGCUGGAGUACAGUGGCGCAAUCUCGGCUCACUGCAACCUCUGCCUCCCAGGUUCAAGAGAUUCUCCUGCCUCAGCCUCCCAAGUAGCUGGGAUUACAGAUAGUGCCCUCCCUCUGGGAAGCUGCUGACAAAGUCCAACAAUAUGGCUCAAAUAAGAAUCCAGAGGGCAUGGAUAGUUGAAGUGGAUUCUCUCUCAUGCAUUAAAGAGAAGAGAAACAACCAGAUGACUUGUUAACUAAAGGGGAGGGUGAUACUUAAAUUAAGAAAGCUGAGCUGCAUGAAUUGAUUUAUUCAUUCAACUGAUAUUUAUUGAAUACCUACUAUGUGCCAGACACUGUUCUAGGCCUCGAGGAUGCAGAAGUGAGCAAGACAGGGGAAGAAAAGCUCCUGACAUAUGGAGCUUACAUCCUAGUUGGGAGAUACAGGCACACACAAGCAAAACGAAUGUUCACCCGUGACAGUGGCAGCUUGGGCAGCAGCAGUUCUCCCUAUGACAUUUCCUUUUGCCUCCAAAAGCUUCACCCAUGGACAAGACACAAGCAAUUUUUAACCAAUGAUCAAUGCUCUUACCAAAUGGCUGUUUCCCAGCAUAGAGUCCACCCCACCAGGGCUCUGAAGGGAUCCUCCUACACAUAAACAUCAUUCUUCCCUCCCUCUCUUUCCUCCUGCCUCAUCAGAAUUGUUUGCAAACUUGUUUCUAGACCCUCUGAUGAAGUUGAGAGAAACUGAGGCAAAAUCCCCCAUCACUAAGUUUUUCAAGGAUCCCUUAAAAAGUGAGGGGCAGAAACAGGAAGACUUUUGGGAUUAAGGUAUUUCUUUCCCAACUGGCAUUUUGAAGUUUGUGAAAUGUUUAGUAUAUUCAAAGCUAUCAGAAAAGGCAUUCAGAAAGAGGGGCUCUGGUUUUGUGUUUCUGGAAAUUGACCUGAGAAAUGUGAAGGGGUGAUAUAUGGGGAGAGGAUACUCAGUGUUAGGACUGGGAUACCAAUGGUUAGAAGUGACAGAGUGACAGAAAGGCAGAGUCCAGUUCAAUUUGAGAAAGAACUCCCUGGCUGUCAGAGCAGUCUAAUAAUGGAAUGCAGAGCUCAAACAUGGCUAAUGGCCGCUUGAGGGAUUGUUAGACAGCAGUGAAGCUUCUGAAGGAGGAAUUAACUAAGUGACCUUUAUGGUCUCUUGCAACCCUGAGGAGGCUAUGAUUUAACUAAGCAUUCCAGAAAAUUGUAAUAUACUCAAGUUGAAUGUGAUAUACUUGAAACUUCAUGUGCCAAACAAUAUAGUAUUAACAUGUGAAGAAACUGACAGAAACAACAGUAGUGGGAAACUUUACCACAUUUCUUUUUCUAUAAAAGCAAAUGAGAACAUAACUAUAAUUGAGAAAAUUUCUAUACAUUCUUAUAGGUUGAAAUACAACAGACUACAUCUUCUGUCCACAAUGUAAUAAACCCAGACAUAAAUAAGCAAAACUAAACAGUAGUGGAUACCUUUUCAUGUGUCCAAUCUGUUCACAGUAACGAAUCCCUGUCCCUUCUCUUCCAUAACUCCUCCCACAUUUUGGUUUUCAGCAACAACUUAGUACAAAAUGAUCCCACUUCCCUGGCCUUGACUGAUUGACUUAAGAUUGGACACCUGAUCCAGAUGGGCCAGACCUGCUUCCCUGAAAAUCUGGAAUUUGAGGCACAGAGAUAGGAAUAUCAUCUCUCAGGUCGCUGGACCUACAAAUUUGAGAACUAUAUUUGAGAACUAUCAGUGAUUGUGAUCUGCCAUGUGAAUUCAAGAAAGAAGAAACUGGUUGGCAAAAAACAAAACAAAACCCCAAACCACUAUAGAAACAAUGAAAUAGGCCAGGCAUGGUGGCUCACAUCUGUAAUCCCAGCACUUUGGGAGGCUGAGGCACGUGGAUCACCUAAGGUCAGGAGUUCAAGACCAGCCUGGCCAACAUGGUGAAACCCUGUCUCUACUAAAAAUACAAAUAUUAGCCAGGCAUGGUGGCGGGCACCUGUAGCUCCUGCUACUUGGGAGGCUGAGGCAGGAGAAUCGCUUGAACCCAGGAGGUGGAGGUUGCAGUGAGCCAAGAUCGUGCCACUGCGCUGCAGCUUGGGUGACAGAGCUAGACUCCGUCUCAAACAAACAAACCCAGAAACAAUGAAAUAGAUACGUAGGAGCGAGCAGAGAUCAGAGAGAAGCUCCCGAUGAUUUACCAGUUGCUGAUUUAUGCCCUUUUAAGAGUCUCAAUGCAUUUUUGCUCUUGGAGUACACAAGGUCCUUAUAUCCUUAUAACAAUUCCCAUCUUUCACUUAAGUCAAUUGGGGUUAUUUUCCUUGCAAUCAGAGAAUUCUGACUCAUAAGAAUAAACAAACUUCA